rnacentral:rRNA from 1 species
GACGAACGCUGGCGGCGUGCUUAAUACAUGCAAGUCGAACGGACAGGCCCUGCUCUUGCUCCGUGCUCGUUAGGCGAACGGGUGAGUAACACGUGUGUAACCUGUCCCUGACUUUCGGAUAACUUUACGAAACUCGGGCUAAUACCCGAUAGGAGCUCCUGCUGCAUGGUGGGGGUUGGUAAGUUUCGGCGGUUGGGGCUGGACUCGCGGCUUAUCCGCUUGUUGGUGGGGUAGUGGCAUACCAAGGCUUCGAAGGGUAGCCGGCAUGAGCGGGUGACCGGCGACCAUGGGACUGCGAGACGGCGCAGACGCGAACGGGAGGCAGCAGGGGGAAAUCUUGCGGAGCGAGGGGGAGCGUGAGGCAGCAACGCUGCGAGCGGAAAGCCGGCCUUCGGGGUGUAAACCGCUUUGUCCUGUGACAUGGAGGGAGUGACGGUAAUGGGUAAAGAAGCAACGGCUAACUACGUG